UUUCAGGGACAUGGCGCGCAUCGGCAUCUCCUCUGCUGCACAUCAGAACAAGAUCCUGACCAGCGUCCAGACUAUGCUGUCCCAAAUGCAACACAUCCAAGGCAGAAUGGUUCCUGUCUGAGAGGCGCUAACAAAGGAAUCAAAGACACUUUUUUCCUACAAAAGAACGAAUACGUAAUAAAAAAGAAUAAAUAUAAAAAAAAAAAAACUGGCAAAUAAACUAUGAAGAAGUAGUUUACCUCAUCAACGCACUUUAAAUUGGAUUUAAAAAGUAAAGAAGACCUUGAUGAAGAAAAAGGGGCUUCUACGUUUUUUUCAAAAACCCGACCUUUACUUUGCUCUCUUUGUUGUUUUGGAGAACGGAAAAACUUUUAGGAUUUACGGGGAGGGGGGGGCAGCUGAAAAUGUGCUUCCGAGAGGCUGAUCUGGAGUGCCUUUAGGUCUGAGAAGAUGGAGGGAGGCGGCGGGAUGUCACUUCCUCCUCUCUCUCUGGAACAAUCCGAGGAGCAAACUUUCUGAAUUUCCUGACUGUGUUUAUUGUAAAUGACUUGUUUGUGCGGGACCGGCGCCCCCCCCAGGCCGCCGUCGCUCUGGUUUUUCUCUCUCGGCCGGAUCUGUUCCAUCUGAUCUCAGAAAGCGGAGGAUUCUACCUGAGGUUGAGGACUGCAUGGUUUUUAUUUUGUUUGUUUCUCUCCGGCCUCCUUUUUUCUCCCAGAAUGCACCAUUUUCUGUCCCUCGGGGCGUCAAAGAGAACGUCUUUGAUCUUCCCUAACCCCUGUCUUCCCCAAAAAACGCCAAGCCCUCCUUCCUACACCUCAGAUAAACACACUUUGGAUUCUUCCAUCCGGGUUUCAGGCCCUCAGGAGCCGCAGACUCUUUGCUCGUUAUGAAUCGUUCAAUAAACCAGAAACAGACGAUGAAAUCUACGGAGAAUGUGGAGAGAAACGGAAUCAUCGGCAACCACAAAACGGAGGGUUUCCUGGAGCUGUCGUCUAGACGCUGCCGUCCAUCUAAAAAAACAACCCGGGGGGGAACGGCCCGGCUUCCCGCUCUUCCUCUCCGUCCUCCUGCUUCCUCAUCGUCCUGCUUCCGCCUCACCUCUCCGCCGCGGAGGACGACUCUGUCAGCCGCGUCCGAGUCGGCCGCCCCGACGCCGGAGUAGCCGCCCCCGAUGGAGCUCAAAUGAAUGAAAUAAAACUUUUUUUUUUUUUUAAAGAGACAAGAAGAAGAAUGUAAGAAAACCUAGAUUACAGACUGAAAACUUUUUCUUCCGUUGAUCUCUUUGCAUGUGACGCGACGAAGGUUUGGUGUGAGAAUGGGAGCGGCGUGCGCGUGCGUCUGUCUUCUCCGAUUGUGAAAGUCUUCUCUGUUAUUGUGUUUGUUGUUUUCAUGCCACCGUGGAGAAGGGAGCGAGAUUAAAGAGUUGUAUAGUUUUUGAUAUGAAAAAGGGAAAAGAAAAACUGGACUAUAGUUUUUUUUUUUUUGUGGCUCACUUCCAGCAGCGUUUAUUGAACGCACCCCGUCUGGUGCGGCCCGGAGGGACGCCACCGGGGAAAAAAAUGUCUCCGGGAAAUUCAGUUGGAGUUUGGAAUAUCGUGGAUUGUGGAGGAAACGGUCAGAAGUGACGCACCUGGACUGAAACAAAAGGAGGGGGUCUAAAAAUAAAAAUGAUUUGUUGUUUAAUUUUCCAGAGUUCAUCUUCCAGCUACAGGUUGAACACAACGGACUUUCAUCCUUUUCUUCCUUUUGUUUAUAAAGUGUAAUUAUGUCAAAUGAGAGACGCUUCAUGUACACUAAUACGACACCUCCGUCCUUAAUACCGCUCUGCAAUCCUUUCUCUAGUUUUCCUUUGGGGGGGGGGGGGGGGUUUGUUUAAAAAGGACCUGUUUGGAUAUAUGCAAGACAUGCUUGGAAGGAGAAGGAAACCAGAAUGUACUGUAAAAUACUUUUUUCCUUUACUCAAAUGUCAAAUAAGUAAAAAAAAAAAGAGAAAAAAAUGAAAAUAA